GAUGAACGCUAGCGGCAGGCUUAAUACAUGCAAGUCGUGGGGCAGCAGGACUGUAGCAAUACAGUUGCUGGCGACCGGCAAACGGGUGCGGAACACGUACGCAACUUACCCUGAACUGGGGGAUAGCCCGGGGAAACCCGGCGUAAUACCCCGUAAUAUAAUGGAGUGGCAUCACUUUAUUAUUAAAGCUCCGGCGGUUCGGGAUGGGCGUGGGGCUGAUUAGGUAGUUGGUUGGGGUAACGGCUCACCAAGCCUACGACGAGGAACUGGUGUGAGAGCACGACCAGUCACACGUGCACUGAGACCCGGACCCCAAUCCUACGGGAGGCAGCAGUAAGGAAUAUUGUGCAAGGGAGGCAACUCUGACCCAGCCAUGCCGCGUGGAGGAUGAAGGCCCUCGGGGUUGUAAACUUCUUUUAUAGGGGACGAAACCUGUGUAUUCUUACGCAGUUGACGGUACCCUAGGAAUAAGCGCCGGCUAACUCCGUG
rnacentral:rRNA from 1 species